UCAGUGAGCCAAAAGCACUUAAACCCAUGAACCUUCAGCUGGCCAUCCUUAGCCAGUCCGGUCUCUAGGAGGAACUGGCAUUUGUCCUUGUUCUGAUCACCUCGUAGCAGAAUUACUUCUCCAUAUUCCGGAUGAUCAAUUACAGUACCAUUGCUGUGCCAAGAGGAAGCAGAUCAUCACGCUUACUUGCAUCAGCAAAGGGGUAGAAAGGGUGUUGUUGUUUCUGGAGAUCAGGAGUCCACGAUUUUGUGUCCUCAGAGGAACGGGCCUGCGGAAGGCAGUGGCAGGCUCCCUGCACUGGAAAUACCUGAGGAUUGAUUUAGGAAUGAAGAUCCUCAAUCCCACCUCAGAAAUUCUGCUUCACAUGAUGAUAGUUGGGAUUGAUGGGGGAGAAAAUGAAGAGAAACAGCUGGAGGCUUUGCAAGUACGUCCAUAAGCAGGAUGUUCCAUGCCAGGGGAGAAGACAUUUUAUGGAAAUUUUAAAAUAAAAAUGUUCUACUUCAUGAA